CCUACGGGAGGCAGCAGUGGGGAAUAUUGCACAAUGGGGGGAACCCUGAUGCAGCAACGCCGCGUGGGUGAAGAAGUACUUCGGUAUGUAAAGCCCUUUCAGCAGGGAAGCAAAUGACGCUACCUGACCCAGAAGCCCCGUCUAACUACGGGCCAGCAGCCGCGGUAAUACGUAGGGGGCAAGCGUUAUCCGGAUUUACGGGGUGUAAAGGGAGCGUAGACGGCAAGGCAAGUCUGGAGGGAAAGCUCGUGGCUCAACCACGGGACUGCUUUGGAAACUGUGUUGCUGGAGUGCAGGAGGGGUAAGCGGAAUUCGUAGUGUAGCGGUGAAAUGCGUAGAUAUUAGGAGGAACACCGGUGGCGAAGGCGGCUUACUGGACUGUAACUGACGUUGAGGCUCGAAGGCGUGGGGAGCAAACAGGAUUAGAUACCCGGGUAGUC
rnacentral:rRNA from 1 species